UUUUCUUUGCAGAGCGUAUCACUCCGCCGUCCAUAGCAACGCCGUUGCUAAGGACGACAUUUUCGCGGGCGGCGGGCUGAAAUUUCAUCCGAGUUGUUGACAGCCGAUUACAUCACCAGUUUCGGCCUCUGCAUCAAGAUGGCGAUCAUCCUAGGCUUCACCGACUGUAAAAUUGGUGAAAGCCAUGCCCAACAGGAUUGUCACCAGCAGGAUACCAGGAUGUUAUAUUUAGCUUGAGAUUAUGGAUAUAUAUAUAAGAUGUAUUAUGUACAGAGAUCUUAAUUCCCAUUUAUUUUGUUUAUUGUAAUGUUAAUACAAUUUGGGAGCGUAUUUAAUAUUCGAUUCAGCAUCCAAUGUCUACUCUAACUUUCAAGCAUGUGUUAAGU